GCGAACGUUAGCGGCGGGCCUAACACAUGCAAGUCGAACGAGAAAAUCCCUUCGGGGGUGAGUAAAGUGGCGCACGGGUGAGGAACGCGUAGGUAAUCUACCCUCUGGCGGGGGACAACACUCCGAAAGGAAUGCUAAUACCGCGUAAGACCACGACCACCACGGUGGAUGUGGUUAAAGAUGGCCUCUUCUUGAAAGCUAUCACCAGAGGAUGAGCCUGCGUCCCAUCAGCUUGUUGGUGAGGUAACGGCUUACCAAGGCGAAGACGGGUAGCUGGUCUGAGAGGAUGAUCAGCCACACUGGCACUGGAACACGGGCCAGACUCCUACGGGAGGCAGCAGUGAGGAAUAUUGGGCAAUGGGCGCAAGCCUGACCCAGCCACGCCGCGUGUGUGAUGAAGGCCUUCGGGUCGUAAAGCACUGUGGGGAGAGACGAAAAAUCUCCGUUCGAAUAGGGCGGAGCCUUGACGGUACCUCCUUAGCAAGCACCGGCUAACUCUGUG
rnacentral:rRNA from 1 species